rnacentral:rRNA from 1 species
GUGGGGAAUUUUCCGCAAUGGGCGCAAGCCUGACGGAGCAAGACCGCGUGAGGGAGGAAGGCUCUUGGGUUGUAAACCUCUUUUAUCAGGGAAGAAGAUCUGACGGUACCUGAUGAAUCAGCAUCGGCUAACUCCGUGCCAGCAGCCGCGGUAAUACGGAGGAUGCAAGCGUUAUCCGGAUUUAUUGGGCGUAAAGCGUCCGCAGGUGGUUUUUCAAGUCUGCUGUUAAAGCGCAGAGCUUAACUCUGUAACGGCGGUGGAAACUGAGAGACUAGAGUAUGGUAGGGGUUGCGGGAAUUCCCAGUGUAGCGGUGAAAUGCGUAGAUAUUGGGAAGAACACCAGCGGCGAAAGCGCGCAACUGGGCCAUUACUGACACUCAUGGACGAAAGCUAGGGGAGCGAAAGGGAUUAGAUACCCCUGUAGUCCUAGCUGUAAACGAUGGGUACUAGGUGUUGACCGUAUCGACCCGGUCAGUGCCGUAGCUAACGCGUUAAGUACCCCGCCUGGGGAGUAUGCACGCAAGUGUGAAACUCAAAGGAAUUGACGGGGGCCCGCACAAGCGGUGGAGUAUGUGGUUUAAUUCGAUGC